CCUACGUGCGGCAGCAGUAGGGAAUAUUGCUCAAUGGGGGAAACCCUGAAGCAGCAACGCCGCGUGGAGGAAGAAGUUUUUAGGAUUGUAAACUUCUUUUGUUAGAGAAGAUUAUGACGGUAUCUAAUGAAUAAGCACCGGCUAACUCCGUGCUAGCUGCCGCGGUAAUACGGAGGGUGCAAGCGUUACUCGGAAUCACUGGGCGUUAAGAGUGCGUAGGCGGGGUAAUAAGUCAGAGGUGAAAUCCUGUAGCUUAACUACAGAACUGCAUUUGAAACUGUUACUUUGGAGUGUGGGAGAGGUAGGUGGAAUUCUUGGUGUAGGGGUAAAAUCCGUAGAGAUAAGGAGGAAUACUCAUGGCGAAGGCGGCCUGCUGGAACAUUACUGACGCUGAUGCACGAAAGCGUGGGGAGCAAACAGGAGUAGAUACCCGUGUAGUC
rnacentral:rRNA from 1 species